AUUGCUUAAUUAACUCAGGAACCACACCUGUGUGGAAGCAUCUGCUUUCAGUAUACUUUGUAUCCCUCAUUUACUCAAGUGUUUCCUUUAUUUUGGCAGUUGCCUGUAUAUGUAAAUAACCAUGACAUUUUAGAUGGCUGAUAGUCAGGCGUAUAUGAAUUUUAUCUAGAGCUGAGCGCUAUUUUUACAGAUGGACUUGAUCUGCCUACAACAGAAACACAUAAUCACUGCCUCGUAGAUUGUGAUGAUAGAAUGCAGUGUAAACCUACCUUGAAGCAUUACAUUGGCAUGACAAACGUACUGUGAAUUGUUAUUACAAUAUUUAGAGGCUUUCUGGUGCCAAUGUAAUUGCAGUCAUCCUAACAUUUGGCAUUUCAAAACUUGCUCUGGGCAGGGGCAACAAAAAUAAUACCACUCUCCUAAGUGUAUUAAAAUUGUUUUACAGUAUGAGGAGCAUAUGUGAAAUAUGAGGGUUAACCCACUGGGGCUAAUAUAUGAAUAGCUGCUAACUGAAAGACAUCAAUCCAUGUUAGCAUUGAGUGGUCCAGGUGGCUCUUGCGGUCACUGGGGUUGUUACUGAUGAACCGUCCAUUCCACUGCCAUAACUUUCACCUGUAUCAACAGUCUUGUUUUAGAACAAAUAUUCACUGUUUGCUAGUGUGCAUUUAAAGCUGUUUUGAAUGUAUUUCUUGCGUUUCUACUUUCCCUCCAUAAUUCCUUUUCACAUAUACAUUUCAGUCAGAGCUGCCAUCAUGAAAAUACAAACAUAUUGAUUUACAGACCUGUUGUACCAGGCAAUGUGUCAUCAUGUUAAAAAAGACUGCUACAUAUUUAAAUCUUGCCACAAGUGCAGUACAGUUUUAUGACAAGCAUUUGCAUGUUGCUGUCUAUAGGUGUUGUUUUGUGUUAAAAUGAUUGUACAUCUGGAUUUGUUUACUUUUAUUGUAUUCUCACAAGUUGGGUCUAAAAUGUAGACCUAUUAUAACUCUAGAUCAAUUUAAGUUUGUUAAUGUAUUUAAAUGUUCAUUUUGUAUAGCCUAAGUGUGUUUUGUCUAUGUUUUCAUUGAUAUGAAUGGAGUACUCUGUAUAGUUCAAAAAGUAUUGACUUUUUAUGUUGGCCAUGUGGUUGCUUCUGGAUCAGUUGUACUUGUUUUGGAUCUGUAAAAAUACAUAAAUGCUUGACAAAUAAACUGCCUGAUACCCACGAGCUUCUUCGGAGCCAGAGACGAACAUGGACUGGACCAAAUUAACUGAAGUUUGUCGCGUGGUGGUGUAAUUGCCAUAGCAACGGGAAAAUGGCAGUAAAUCCUUUGCCAUCAUCUCUACCUGGCAGCGUCAAUUCGUAUUUCAACGCCUACAAAAACUCGCUUUUUGCCGAUGUCGAAAAACAGAAAACAACCUGCAAAAAACGUUUUAUCCACAGACUGGUGUAUGUAGCAACGAGAAAGCUAAACGCUGACGAUAAACAGAGUGCAAUUGCAGAAUACUAUGAGCAAUUUUUGUCGAAAUUCCAGAAAAACCCACAGACUGAGAAAGUCACUGGGAUACUGCUAUUAUAUCCCAAAAGUAUAAUUCAUUUGAUGGAG